rnacentral:rRNA from 1 species
UACGUAGGGUGCGAGCGUUAAUCGGAAUUACUGGGCGUAAAGCGUGCGCAGGCGGUUUUGUAAGCCAGAUGUGAAAUCCCCGGGCUUAACCUGGGAAUGGCAUUUGGGACUGCAAGGCUAGAGUGUGGCAGAGGAGACUGGAAUUCCUGGUGUAGCAGUGAAAUGCGUAGAUAUCAGGAGGAACACCGAUGGCGAAGGCAGGUCUCUGGGCUGACACUGACGCUCAUGCACGAAAGCGUGGGGAGCAAACAGG